rnacentral:sRNA from 1 species
GAGGCCUACCAUGGUGGUAACGGGUAACGGGGUGUUAGGGCACGACACCGGAGAGGGAGCCUGAGAAACGGCUACCACAUCCAAGGAUGGCAGCAGGCGCGCAAAUUACCCAAUCCCGACACGGGGAGGUAGUGACAAUAAAUAACAAUACGGGGUUCUUUCGGAUUUCGUAAUUGGAAUGAGUACAAUUUAAAUCUCUUAACGAGGAACAAUUGGAGGGCAAGUCUGGUGCCAGCAGCCGCGGUAAUUCCAGCUCCAAUAGCGUAUAUUAAAGUUGCUGCAGUUAAAAAGCUCGUAGUUGAAUUUCGGGACCAUCAUGUCGGUCGUGCCUCGGUACGUACUGGCAUUGUUGGUUUCUCCCUUCUGACGAACCAUGAUGUCAUUUAUUUGGUGUUGUGGGAAAUCAGGACUGUUACUUUGAAAAAAUUAGAGUGUUUAAAGCAGGCUCACGCUUGAAUACAUUAGCAUGGAAUAAUGAAAUAGGACGUUUGAUUCUAUUUUGUUGGUUUCUAGGAUCGACGUAAUGAUUAAUAGGGAUAGUUGGGGGCAUUAGUAUUCAAUUGUCAGAGGUGAAAUUCUUGGAUUUAUUGAAGACUAACUACUGCGAAAGCAUUUGCCAAGGAUGUUUUCAUUAAUCAAGAACGAAAGUUAGGGGAUCGAAGACGAUCAGAUACCGUCGUAGUCUUAACCAUAAACUAUGCCGACUAGGGAUCGGAUGAUGUUAAUUUUUUAAUGACUCAUUCGGCGCCUUACGGGAAACCAAAGUGUUUGGGUUC